CAAAACACUUAUUAUGACAUAGUGUGAGUUUCUUUUUGUUGCUGUUCAUUUUCCAGCUGGACAUGCCACUUUUGUGACAGUGGUGGUGUAUCAUUCCUUAUGGAAAAUUUUGACCUUGGAAGGUGAGACUGCAAAGAUUGUUAUUUGACCUGAAGUUGUUACAAGAAUUUUUUAUUUAUUUCUAUUGUUUGAGCCAUGGAAAGCUGUUCGCCCACUGGACAGAUGCAUCUAAAGCCCUUCUGCGAGGUGAGGUGCUACCAGUGUUUAGGAUGACAAAAAGGAAGGUGGAUGACAUUACUGAGGAAGAAGAGCAGCAGGCAGAGGUCUCACCUACUGUCAGACCUGCCGAUGUGGACACACCAGUGGAAGGCGACUCGGUUGAAGAUCGCAUUCUUCAUAAUUGCAAACAUUAAGCAGAGUGGGUUGAGGCCAACAAACCACUGUUCUCAACUAGUGGACCUGCCUGACAUUCUGAGCAUGGGGGAGGAGGAACAGGCAGAGGCUGCUAUACAGUAUGGGAGAUUGUGGCAAGAAGAACUGGAUGACAAUGAAAGAGAAGUGAUCCUGGAGCCAUUCAAGUUUACUUUUAACAACCCUGACAACAUGUAGAUUUCUUGUGAUGAAAUAAUGGACAAAAAAAAUUAUCUGGCAUAUUGUGAAUGUCACACUGAGUAACUUUGAGAGUAAAGGGCUACAGAACAUUUGAACAUGUUGUGACCUGAUGUGUGUUUUUUUUUUUUUGUGUGUGUGUUUUCUCAUUGAUCACUUAAUAAUUUGACUUGGAUUAUACUGUAGAUUUCAAGAGUUGGUUUAGUAUUUAGUGGUCCUUAGGUGUUCUAGCAGCACAAGAAUAUAAUUAGCAUAGACAUAGAACCAAACAUGAAAUUUAUGGUGGUUAAGAAUAAAAAUACAGAAUAAUACAACAGAAAAACUAAUUGAAACAA